GGCUGUUUGGUAGCCUCUUAAUGGACAAAUUAAGAGGCAAGCUCUUAAUUUUUCAGAUUAAGAGUGUUUGGUAGCAUAGGAAUAAAAGCCUCUUAAUUUUGUAAAAGCCUCUUAAACUUUCAGACUUGGGCUUGUAUCUGAAAAGAAAAAGAACGCGUCCUUCCCUCUUUUACCCUCUUACGGAUUCCAAAACCACACACCCGCCUUCGCCUUUAGAUCGCCUCUUCCGUCUCCUCCCUCCUCCAACCAUCUCGAGCAUCGAUCGCUUCUUCUACCUCCUCCGGUCGCUGACCUCCUUAAAUCGACUACCCUCACGACUUCCGACGCUAAGCUCCGACAACAUCGACCCUUCUCCGACAGCAUUCACCACCUUCGACAGCCUCCGCUAGCACCACCAGCGACGACGGCCUCAUGUUGUAGCUUGAAAAGAAUGGAGUUUGAUGUGUAUAAUUAUGGGGGUGUGUUGCUAGAGCUCAUAACCAGAGGAGGCUGAAAAGAUUGUAGAUGGUCAAGUUUUUUGUUGAUUUCACAUUGAAACCUCGUGGAUUUGUAAAAAAGGAGAGGGUGAUGUGGACAAAGAACUCACAUAAUGAUUAAAUUUAACAUAUUUAUUAAUUUUGAUGUUCUUUUGGUUAA